ensembl:lncRNA
UCAGGGUCAAGGAGCCACUGUCUAUUCUUGCGCCAACGUCAAUGGUGCACUGAAGUUCAUCCGUUCCACACUGAACAAUCAAAGACUGGCUCAGGAUAACACAUUCAUCCCUGGAAGUUUCCGUGGUUCGGUGAAUAGAGGAAAGAUUCAGUGCAUUUUCAAUGCUGCAGGUCUCGGCAGCAUCACUCGUGCGGCAACCCCAGACACUUAUGUCUUCUUUUUAACAGGCAGUGUCUUAAAUGGUUCUCUGGAUUCUCCAGUCAGUAGACUGACCACAAACGGGUCAGUGGACUUAAGCAACCCUAACAGCACAGACGUUUCAGUAAUAAUACCCAGUACAAAUUCCACCACAACAGCACCGAACACCACCACAUCUAAUUCCUCUGUAGCAUUAAACACCACAACGGCCCCGAACACCACCACAUCUAAUUCCACUGCAACAUCAAAUGCCACUGCAUCCUCAAAUACCACUGCAUCUACUGCCUCUGGAGUAUCUACAGCUAAUAACGGUACAACAAAUGAGAAAGUCACCAAGGACAACUGUAAGAAGGACAGGGCAUGUUUCUUCACUCCAGCCAACUGUGAUCCAUCGAGCUCAAGUAGCUGCUUUUUCACCUCCACAAGAGGGGUGAACGGAGACUCAGACAAUCUCACUUUUGAGCUCAGUGGAGAUUCAAACGGUUACAUCGCAGUUGGCCUGUCUCGAGACAAGAAGGAGGGUGAUGAUGACACCGUCUACUCUUGUGCCAAUGACAAUGGCGUGGCGAAGUUCAUUCGUGCCACACUGAACAACGCCAUUCUGACUCCGGACAAGACUUUUAACCCUAGAUCCUUCCGUGGCUCUGUGAGCGGCACUAGGAUUCAAUGCAUUUUUGUAGCUGUAGGUCUCAGCAGCAGCACCCGUGCGGCAAACACAAAUACUUUCCUCUAUUUCUUCACUGGCAACUUUACAAAUGGCACUCUGGGGUCUCCAGUCACACGAAUGUCUACAAAUUCAUCGGUUGAUCUGACCAACACUAACAGCUCAGACGUUGCCAUAAUAACACCCACUACAAACACAGACUCUAAUACUACCACUAUUACCGUUUCUACUACUGCGACAACGACUACUACAGCAAAACCUGCUACUACAGCAGGGAGCAAUGCACUGCAUCAUGCUGCAUCACAGGCUGCUCUGGUAAUUCUCUCAGGGAUCCUUGCAGUGCUCCUGUUGUAAGGAUGCUGCCCACACAUUUGCUUUCUGAAACUGGUCGAUGAGCACUGGACGCUUGAUGAACCCAACACCAAAGUAUAUGUAAUUCAGCAUAUUUAUAACUGUGCAAUAUUGCGACUCUGGGAACAAUGAAGAAAGGAGCUGAAAAUAUGGGGAAGAGGGCAAUACAUCAUUCAUUUAAUCUCUGUGUUUGUGUGAGAGAGAUUGUGUUUAUGAAUGUUUUUGCGAGCGUUAGUGUUUGUAUUCUGCUAAUGUACUGCUAUUUAAAAUCAAGCUCCUGCACAGAGAGGGCUGAUACAAUUAUAAUCAGUCUAUUCAUUUAAUUGUGCAAGUGUGACACCAUCAAGCGGCUGAAAAUAUCUAAGAUAAUUGUUUUUAAAUGUCUUAAUUUAUUCUUACUUAUACCUCAAACUAUUGAUUGUUUUAAAUAAAGUUUUAAAUAAAGUCACAUGUUCUUUUUUCUUUUUUUUUUUUUUUUAAAUAUGCAUAAAAUGUUCAAGUAAAAAA